GCACUGCUGAAGAGUCCUAAAACUGGACGAUACAGCUGUCCAGUGC
rnacentral:hammerhead_ribozyme from 1 species